GCAAGUCGAACGAACUCUGGUAUUGAUUGGUGCUUGCAUCAUGAUUUACAUUUGAGUGAGUGGCGAACUGGUGAGUAACACGUGGGAAACCUGCCCAGAAGCGGGGGAUAACACCUGGAAACAGAUGCUAAUACCGCAUAACAACUUGGACCGCAUGGUCCGAGUUUGAAAGAUGGCUUCGGCUAUCACUUUUGGAUGGUCCCGCGGCGUAUUAGCUAGAUGGUGGGGUAACGGCUCACCAUGGCAAUGAUACGUAGCCGACCUGAGAGGGUAAUCGGCCACAUUGGGACUGAGACACGGCCCAAACUCCUACGGGAGGCAGCAGUAGGGAAUCUUCCACAAUGGACGAAAGUCUGAUGGAGCAACGCCGCGUGAGUGAAGAAGGGUUUCGGCUCGUAAAACUCUGUUGUUAAAGAAGAACAUAUCUGAGAGUAACUGUUCAGGUAUUGACGGUAUUUAACCAGAAAGCCACGGCUAACUACGUGCCAGCAGCCGCGGUAAUACGUAGGUGGCAAGCGUUGUCCGGAUUUAUUGGGCGUAAAGCGAGCGCAGGCGGUUUUUUAAGUCUGAUGUGAAAGCCUUCGGCUCAACCGAAGAAGUGCAUCGGAAACUGGGAAACUUGAGUGCAGAAGAGGACAGUGGAACUCCAUGUGUAGCGGUGAAAUGCGUAGAUAUAUGGAAGAACACCAGUGGCGAAGGCGGCUGUCUGGUCUGUAACUGACGCUGAGGCUCGAAAGUAUGGGUAGCAAACAGGAUUAGAUACCCUGGUAGUCCAUACCGUAAACGAUGAAUGCUAAGUGUUGGAGGGUUUCCGCCCUUCAGUGCUGCAGCUAACGCAUUAAGCAUUCCGCCUGGGGAGUACGGCCGCAAGGCUGAAACUCAAAGGAAUUGACGGGGGCCCGCACAAGCGGUGGAGCAUGUGGUUUAAUUCGAAGCUACGCGAAGAACCUUACCAGGUCUUGACAUACUAUGCAAAUCUAAGAGAUUAGACGUUCCCUUCGGGGACAUGGAUACAGGUGGUGCAUGGUUGUCGUCAGCUCGUGUCGUGAGAUGUUGGGUUAAGUCCCGCAACGAGCGCAACCCUUAUUAUCAGUUGCCAGCAUUAAGUUGGGCACUCUGGUGAGACUGCCGGUGACAAACCGGAGGAAGGUGGGGAUGACGUCAAAUCAUCAUGCCCCUUAUGACCUGGGCUACACACGUGCUACAAUGGAUGGUACAACGAGUUGCGAACUCGCGAGAGUAAGCUAAUCUCUUAAAGCCAUUCUCAGUUCGGAUUGUAGGCUGCAACUCGCCUACAUGAAGUCGGAAUCGCUAGUAAUCGCGGAUCAGCAUGCCGCGGUGAAUACGUUCCCGGGCCUUGUACACACCGCCCGUCACACCAUGAGAGUUUGUAACACCCAAAGUCGGUGGGGUAACCUUUUAGGAACCAGCCGCCUAA
rnacentral:rRNA from 3 species